GUUUUAGAACUAAAAAACAGGCCAGAGAAUGCAUAUGAUCCAGCAACAUCGAACCUGGUUGCAGGUAGCAAUAUUUUUUGUGUAUUAUUGUGAAAAUGCGUUAAUUUAUCAAUCACUAUUUUGUUUUCCAUUUUGUACAGUUAUGGGUGAUGAAGAAAUGUUGCAUGUCCCUCCAGGAGUUUAGAAUAUCGUGAAAAGCCAUAUCCAACCAAGGCUUGCAUGUUUUACUUUGCUGCAUGAGUCACCUGCUGGCUUGCUGCACCAUGAGUCAAUUUGCUGCAACCAGGCCUUGCCUUUCAAAUCAAACACACUUUCAAUUCGGUGAGUUUUAGUUGAAUGAGAAAAAGGUUAUUUCUUCAUAGAUGGAAAGCACAAUCGCUACAAGCUUGUUAACCGAGACUUUUUGUUGUUGUUGUUGUUACAAGUUGCAGGGCAUUGAAACAAGUCUCAAAUUUAUUUAGGUGCUAAUGACAUUAAAUCUAUUUUACUUCCAGAAGGGACAUUUCGUGUAAAAUAGUAUGUAAACAAUCAAUACAUGUUAAAGUCAUUUGUAAUAGAUGUCCAGUAUGUGAGAAUGAUCAUGGAUACAAGCAAGCAACUUUUGUCUAUUCUUAAUUCUUAGAAGUGGUCAUUUGGUAA